rnacentral:lncRNA from 1 species
AGUGUGCCUGAUGGACCUGCCCCAGCAGAGCCAGCCGAUGGCUCAUUGAGCUUACGUCGUUUCGAUGGUGAUACAACCGGCUCCGGGCGUCUAGCCUGGUGCGCCUGAGCUGCUUCCUGGCCUGCAACUGGCUGUUGGUGGAAUUGACUGGCUGAAGCGUGGCGCCGUGCGGGAGGCGCCCUGUCAUCUGGUUCUAAUGUCUCUCUUGUACUCACUAUAUUGUUUGAAGUGUUACCAGCAUCGCCGCUACUAGGUUUUGGCCUGCCGGUGGUCAGGAAUGCUUUGACGCUACCCUGACCAGCUAUAGUAGUUAAUUUCUUGGGCCCCAUCGCUCAUUUAUAACUUAUUUAUACUAAAAUAGAACGUCUCUGGGGGCCUUCGGCCCGCCCCGGCUCCGUAACGACCGUACCAGGCCUUUACCAUGGUCUAUGACGGAGCGCAGAACGCAAAUAUGCCAUUUUAUUACGGAACCGUAAUAUAUUACGGAAAAAAAUACACCGGUCCAUAGUCCAGGGCAACGGAGGGGUUUACCCUGGGGCCGUGUCACCCCUCCUGCUGGGUAGGAACUUACAAGGGGGUUACCGAAGGGCUACCGGGGGUUGAAGAUGGGUAACCCAUGGGUAACUGACCCAAUCAGUGCCUUAGGCAGGGGAGUGCCGGGAAUGUACAUGUAGGCAAUGGACGAGCGAAACGUUGACUUAAACCGUAUCUUGCACCACACCUGCGAUUCAAUUUCCUAACACAGGUAUGUAUUGGACAUUGGCGACUCGAUUCGACUAAGAUUGUCGCUUCAACAAGGUCAUGGACACAUAUUGUUCACUCAAGCAGCAUGAACGUCUCUUCCUGGGUCAAUUCGACUCAUUUCAACUCUUUUCGACUCAAUCGACUUAGUUGGCGACUCUUGGCGUUGAGCAGAGGCCGCGUGGUUCACUGCUGAACUCCUUGCGUCCUUCCUCCUCACUUGUCAAGCAUGACUGAGUUGGUCACAAAGGACUUGGACUCGACUCAUCGAAACUGCGGUUAACCACGUGGAACUUCACAAUGUUCUGGUGAUUUAAACUCCACGAUUGCAAACUGUGAAUCAACCCGUGUGCCAGCGUGUGUGCCAGAUACCCAUGCACCAAGUUAUAUCCUAAGCAUUUCACCGCAUCGAGGGCUUUUCAUCGCCCUUGAUUUAGGGUUAUGUCCGGAAACAUUUGUUUACUGCAGGGCUUCCUCAAUUCGUUUCAUUCAAUGUUUCGUUGGCGCUUCCUUUAAUUGUAUUCCACAGCAGCCCUUCCUUGCCCAUGUCCAUGACGUGAAAGAGUGAGAUGUAACGCAAUUGUCCGACACUUGGCAUUUACAUGUCAGACAUAUGCGACAUGUGGGCGUCCAUUUCGUCUCUACCUUGCCAUCGUGGUUAGUCUAGGAACUUUAUUCACAGCACAGUCUAUACAAUCCCAUGCCCUUCUGGCGUGUGUGUUUCUAUGCUUGACGGUGAAAGUGCCUAUAUAUCGUGUCCUGAUCCUGCGGCGUGUCCGUUUCAAGGACUAACUUUUCUGUUAACGAAACCCUAAUGGUAAGGGUGUGUUCACAUGUAGUCCAAUUGAGAGUCUGAUUGGGAGUCCGAUUCGGGGCGGCUUUCUGAAUUGUGUUCACAUACGAUUGCGGCCACCGCGCGAGGUGCCACCGCGCCCAGCUGAAGCUCCGCGGCUACGCCCCAUCACCCAAGGCAAGCCAGCAUUAUCUAGGAACAGAACAGUAUAAGUAUCGUUUCUAUGGCGAAAAUUAUCACCAGGCUUGUACAUACAUAGCUGCAGGAGUUCGUGAAAAAUGCUCGGUGCGCUUUGCGUGAAUUAACAAUUGGAAAAUGUUCCUAUAGUAUUGUAAUGGUAAUUAUUCUUGAAGGCUGAAUGGAUUUGGACGCAAUAGUGAUUGCCAGAGCGUUUACAAAGCGACUAACGGCUCAGCUCAGCCACAACUCACUACUCUAGAAGCAUACCAGACCAAAGAUAAUCGCUGGCUCAUUCCUAUUUAUUCACGAGUUCGACAGUCGAUCAGCAAGUACGGAAGAUGGCUCCACUCUAUCCAGAAACCAAGCAUCACGCAAGCAUCAGGCGACAGACUGACCGGACAACAUUUUCCUCAACACUCCCACGCGGGCAGUCUGCAAGCCUGUUCGACUAUCGCACUCCCAUAGCCAAACG